GUAGACUUUUUCUUACUGUGUGUAUAUUCUUCCCAGACAUCUCAUAGUCCAAAACAGUUGACAGAUUGUCCUCUGGAGAAAGGAAGAAGCUAAACUGAAGUUGGAGAUGAAAAGUAAUGGAUUGUGUAGGAGAUAAUAAUAGAAGAGUGAAGAUGCUGAAGGACUCUCCCAGUAUCCAAGGUGACAGCUUUGAAGAUUCUGGUUCCGUAGGAAAGGACCACAGCUCCUAUCAAUGGGUACUGUUGAAUUUCUCUAUCACUGUCACAUGUUGGGGCAUCAAUGUGGAAGAUUCUUGGGUGAUACCUGUCUUUCUCUCUCCCUCUUAGUAUCCAUCCAAAUCUACUUUUCCAAGUUGAAAUUUUUUUAAGGAAGCUGUCAGCCUUGCUAGGCAGAAGACUCCAUUUAGAGCUUUCAGAACUAAUGUAAGCAAUACCUUCAGCACUCAAAGUAUUCUCUCCCUUUUAAAUAAGAAACUCGAAAUUCAGAGCUCUUAACAGAUACUUAGAGAUACGUUUUGGGUAAGCACUGAGAAGAUACUGACUGUACCAAACCAAAGUUAUACACAGAAAAAAUUGACCUUUUAAAAUAUAUUCACAUUAACUGUCCUAGGAUACUUCUCUUGAGGCUUUUGGAAAAUAACUUCUUCCUUAAAACUUGCAUACCCACUCCAGUUUUGUCACCAAAGAUUUUAAUCUCUAGAGCCCCACUUCCUUUCUUACAAGGCAGAAGAAAUAGAACAGGCUCAAGGGAUAUGCUUUGGUGGUCAAGUGAUGAUACUUACGUUUUCUUUCUGUUCACAGUGAUAUUUAACAGGAGACUUGUUGUUAGAGGAGCUACUGAAUUGUCUCUAUGACUUAGGGAUUGGUUAGAAGUUUAAAAAAAAUAGGGGAAAAAAAUAAACGAUAGUACUUGACACUGUAAAUUAGUCUUUAAUAGAGUCAUGACCUGGAGACUGAUGGAGAGAAAGAAACUUCCAUGGAAGAGAGUGAGCUAAAUCAUUAAGAACCAAACAAGGAUCAUUGGUGAAACAUGGGGCAGCGCGUACACAGAGCAGGUCGUUGCUCUGCGUGGCUGGAGCCAACAGCGGGGCCAAUAGGGAAAUCAGAUAACUGGCCAAUGAAUUCAAGUACUGGAAAAGCCACAAUUUGGGUUUCAUUGUGGUUGCUGGAGGGGUUAAAACAUCCAUGCCCAUGGCAAGGAAAAUGCUGAGGCUGGUCUGUUGUGAUAGUGCCUUUCUUGUUGUACAAGUCCUAGGUUAAUAAUAAUCUGUUUAGUUAUGCUUUCCUGGAUCAUUGCCCCAGUCUCCUGAGGAGGUCUGAAGGGAUAAUACUCACCUAGGAUGAAGGGAUAGGGUAUUGCUCCUGGAAUGCUGUGAUGUGAUGAUAUUUGCACUAGAUUCUAAACGUUAAACUGGAGCGACUGAAUGAGAGAAAAACAAGGAUAGUUCCAAGUGAAAAGAAACCAAAAGCAGUAUUUUCUGACUGAUCCCAUUUCUUUGUCUUCUUCUUCUUCUAUUUUUUUCCUGGAAGCAACUUCACACUUGUUGAUUACCAAGCUCAGCUCUUAACAAUUGUUUUCCUUCUUAUUUUAUUCCCACACUGGACCAUCGGUGUGAAUUAACCAUCAAGUAGGAAUGGUUAGUGGAAAGGCUUCUGUCAUUACAGCUUCAUAACCCUUCUCUCCUUCGUAAAAGGCAUGGGGGUGGGGAGGCUGCAGAGCCAUUGAGCCCUUGGGGAAGCCAGUAGGCAUAGAUGUCAUGUCAAAAGCUGAGCUGAUGCAUAUUUGCUCAGAGGACAUUGGGACCCAGAGCUAAUCCUAAAGGAUGCUCAGAAAGAAGGAAACCAACGUGUUGAAGAAAACAAAGGGAGGUGGAGCCCAAAGGUUGCCUAUUUCUCCUCUCUCUUCUUUUCCAACUCACCUUCAUAUCUUCUCUAUUGGAAUUAUAUUUCAUUUCAAUAUAUGGUACCAGAAGAAUUAUUUGGUUCCUUGGUUUCUCUCUUUAACAGUGGUCUUGGAACCCCUCCAAAAUUAAAAACAAAUACCAUCAGUGUCUCCCUUGUGACGUACCAGUUUCUCGAAUGCUCUCCAGCUGGUCUUGACCAGUCAACUAAGAUAACUUGGAAGCUUUGGCUUGCUCAAUCACCUGUCCACUUUUUUUUCCUUUUGUUUCCAUUUCCAUUUGAAUUGUGAGUGAUCCUAUAGAAAGGUGGAAAUCAUGGGAAAGGUUUGGAGGCUGCAAUUCUAGGGCAUACUUGUCAGGAGUUUGUAUUACCCCAAAUAUCUCUUUUUUGCCCUGUUUUCAGUUGAAUCUGUUGCCCUGAUGAUAAUUUCUAUCAUAUUUGUGGUUAUUUUUAUGAGAAUAGAGUCCAUUUGCUAUGUCUCUGUGAGUGCUUUUUUUCUAUUUUCCCCACAUGAAUGCAGUACCAAUCUGUUAAUGAAGUAUCUGUUUAUUAUAUUAUUAAUAUGUAAUUCUACUGUAGACCAAAAAUAUAAAAACAAAUUUGUUCAUUUUAAAGAUAUAAAGAACUAGUGAGUGAAAGAUUAAGAAGGAAAAGACCGAAGAGCAGUGGUUAACUAUGUCGAGUUAGAAAUCUAAGAGUAGCCUUACCUAUUUUAACCAGUGCUUACCAGUCAUACCAUAGUUGGGAUUACAUAGUCUUGGCUCCUUCAUGCUUAUGUUUUGUAAUUCUUGUUUGUCUGUUUGUUUUUCUUUAAUGUAAUUGAGGUUGCACAUCAUGCUGUUUUUGGCAAUGCCUGAUUUUAUUAUAUUGUACUUUUACCAGUCGUUUCCUUUACAAGGAUGGGGGGAAAGUUUUAUUUCUUCUUUUAAUUUAAAAUUUGUUUAAUGCACUGGAAAUAAAAUUGGACAUAUUUCACUGUUAAAAAAUCAGAAACAAAACAGAACAGAAACCGCAGAGAAAAAACCAGCAACCAAGUAAGUAAUAGGGGAAAAAAAAAAUCUGUUUGUACUGAAAACACCAUACAAAAUACUUCCCACAGGAAAGAGAAAUGCCAUCAAAUAAGAAAAAAUAAAUCGUUUAAAAGCUACAACAUUUGAAAUCAAAAAGAUACCUGGAUUCAGUGGGGAUGGGAAAAUAGGACAUUCCGUUAAAAUUAGAGGUCUGAUUAUUGUUACAGUUAAUGCCCAAACUGGUUCAGUGUGGGCAAGGUGACUACAGAGAAAAUGGCCCCAGCCUUCCACACACCACUGGAGCUCUCUGUUGCCUUUUCUUCUAGGCUUAAGCUCUAUUGUAAGGGGGAAGAAAAACAUGCUAUGAUGGAGAAACUGGCUUGUAUAGAGGUAUUUGUACAGUACAAGUGUGGACACAGCUUAGUCCUCUGCCCAUCCUCAGGCAGGAUGUUUCUUUUCUCCUUGAGGAUUUGCAGCAGGUAAGCCCAUGACAUGGGAGACUGUAAAGGAUUCUCAGAACAUCAGCUCAUGCUAAAGAGCCUCUUGACUCCAAUCUGGUCUCCCUUCUUGAGCAUUCCCAGACACUGAGAGAGCCAGUUAACCCAUACAAAUGCACAGUGAAACGAAACAGAGAUUUUUUUUUUCCUAGUCAACCAGUUGUAUCUUUUGUUUAAUGUUUGCUGGGUUUUUCUGGUUUUGUUUUGUUUUAGAGUUGGGGUGGGAGUAGACGUAACUUCACAAACCUUAUACAGUAAUUGUUUUGCAUCUUCCAUGUUUUAUGCAAAAGCAGACAUUUAAAUCAAUAAAUAAUCGUGCCCUAGACUGAAAGUUAAUGUUUAGGAGAGGAAAAAAAUUGUUGGAAUUUUUUCUACAUUUUUUUGUGAAGAAUCUUUUUUGGAAAGGAAGGAUACAUAUUUUUGUUGUGUAAUAUUUUCUAUUUUUGAAUGCAUUUUAUUGGUACAAGACUGUUUUUUUGGUGAAGACAUUAUUUAAAAAAAAAAAAAGAAAAAAACUAAUCGAAAAGUUUGCCCUUAAGGAUAUGCUGCAGUUUUGAGGUUAAAAAAAAAAAUAACUGAUUCAAGAUGCGUGUUAAAAGUUGGGAUUAUAUUGUUGUUUUUUGUAAUUGUUACAAGAAGAAGUUUGUACCCACUGCUGUUUAUUUUGUUUCAGAUGAGUAAGUAAAGGGAUUGUUCUUGUUUUAUUCUUUUUUAGAGAAAAAAAAAGCUAUUUAUGAAAUGUCAAAAACACUGGACUGUGAGUUUAAGUGUGGAAGCAUUUUACCACCCUGUGUCUUCGACCAAUUAUGGGAAACCCCUUUUCUCUUCCCCCCCGCCUUAGCCUUGCCAAAUGAGAAAAAUGUAACAGCUGUCAGAUGAUGGAAGCCACUGAAGCCCUGCUUUAAUUUUUAUGGUUUGAAAAAGUUGGAAAACCAAAGUUAAAUUCCUUUAUGAAAUCCCACUGUCCGUAGCCCUUUUUUGUAUGACACAGCCGGUUGACUCCGCCUCUCUGUCUUGGAUCAUUGCCUUCUUAAGGACUGGGGGCCAACUCUGAGGCCACAGAAGCAUAAAGAUGGCAAGCCUGAGAGUUGAAGGGUCAUGAAGUCCAUGUGAGUGCGACUUCAACUUGUCAGUGGGCAGUUUUCCCAUCCUGCCCAAGAGCAGUGCUGACCUGCCUGAGGGGAGAGCUCCCCAACCCCUAUCACCUCCAUCCUUGUCUUCUAAGACCUCUGCUCUGUGGAAUGGCUUUGCCUCUCUCAGCAGCCCACCUUCCGUGGAUGGGGUGGGGUAGGGAGGAUCAAGUUGAAAGAAAAUGCUGUGGAUGCUAUGAAGGGCCCCCCAGCCCUGGGGAAGGUGAGGCAAGGGACCUCUAGCACAAGGGAGCUUGCCUGCUUCAUCUUUGACUCUGUGGCUUGUCUAUCCAUCUGCUCACUGUGAAGAUGGAGAGGCAGAGUGCCCUAAGGCUGUUCAAUAGCUUUGCCAUAUUUUUUCAACAUUGAAAAAAUAAUUUUUUAAAACUGUGAUUUUUUUUUAAUCAUUUGGCUGGAGGGAAGGGAAAAGGGAAACACCAAAAGCUGUAACAUGAUUAACUGGAGAUAUUUAAACUGGGGGCACUUUCUAGACCAAGACAAAUGAAUUUCGUUCUGGACCCAAAAGCAGCCAAAUCUGGAGACUGUCUGUGACAGAAAGCUGAAGAGAGGCCUCCAUUUCCUCCUUUCUCCUUUCUUCUCUCUGUCUUGAAAUUCCCUCUUCUCCUUUUCCAACUUUCCUUUGACUGCCCCAAUGGCCCUUGGUCUCCCAUUUCAUACCUGUGUGCACGUGUACACACACACACACACACACAGACACACAUACUUGCAAAAUACCAUUUUUCUUAAGGAUUGUGGGACCGAAUAAAAUCAUGUGCCUUCAUUUUUUCCUUUUAUAGCUAGAUGAACCUCUUCUUUUUUUACAGCAUUUAAACAAUAGAGGAGGUUGAAAUGUUAGUGGGGGAGGACUUGGGUGUCAUUUAGGAAGUAAUUUUUGUUUAGCACAUUUCCCCAAACGUCAGUACAAAGAUUUCCACCCCUUAAUCAUAUUCUUUGGACAUUUAGAGCAUCCAGUGACCAGAUACAUGACAGCCUACACCCAUUUAAUUUUCGAGCAAUUCCUGAAAAUUUGAUUUCAUAGACUUCUUUGAUCCUUCUCAAAAAUGAGGUGAGCAAUGGCGCACAACCUUGUUCUCCCAAUCUGGUGCUUAUGCAUGUGGCGUGGGGUGGG
ensembl:lncRNA